rnacentral:rRNA from 1 species
UGUCUCAGUACAAGCCAAAUUAAGGUGAAACCGCGAAAGGCUCAUUAAAUCAGUUAUGGUUCCUUAGAUCGUACCCACGUUACUUGGAUAACUGUGGUAAUUCUAGAGCUAAUACAUGCAAACAGAGCUCCGACCGGAGACGGAAGGAGCGCUUUUAUUAGAUCAAAACCAAUCGGUGGCGGUUUCCGUCAUCGUACAACUUGGUGACUCUGAAUAACUUUACGCUGAUCGCACGGUCUUGCACCGGCGACGCAUCUUUCAAAUGUCUGCCUUAUCAACUGUCGAUGGUAGGUUCUGCGCCUACCAUGGUUGUAACGGGUAACGGGGAAUCAGGGUUCGAUUCCGGAGAGGGAGCCUGAGAAACGGCUACCACAUCCAAGGAAGGCAGCAGGCGCGCAAAUUACCCACUCCCGGCACGGGGAGGUAGUGACGAAAAAUAACGAUACGGGACUCAUCCGAGGCCCCGUAAUCGGAAUGAGUACACUCUAAACCCUUUAACGAGGAUCAAUUGGAGGGCAAGUCUGGUGCCAGCAGCCGCGGUAAUUCCAGCUCCAAUAGCGUAUAUUAAAGUUGUUGCGGUUAAAAAGCUCGUAGUCGAAUCUGUGUCCCGCGCCGCCGGUUCAUCGUUCGCGGUGUUAACUGGCGUGCCGCGGGACGUCCUGCCGGUGGGCUUAGCUCGCGAGGGCGGCCCAACUCAAUCCCGCCGCGGUGCUCUUCAUUGAGUGUCGAGGUGGGCCGGCACGUUUACUUUGAACAAAUUAGAGUGCUUAAAGCAGGCUAAAACUUUGCCUGAAUACUGUGUGCAUGGAAUAAUGGAAUAGGACCUCGGUUCUAUUUUGUUGGUUUUCGGAGCCCCNNNUAAUGAUUAAUAGGAACGGAUGGGGGCAUUCGUAUUGCGACG